UACGAAGGGGGCUAGCGUUGUUCGGAAUUACUGGGCGUAAAGCGCACGUAGGCGGAUAUUUAAGUCAGGGGUGAAAUCCCAGAGCUCAACUCUGGAACUGCCUUUGAUACUGGGUAUCUCGAGUAUGGAAGAGGUGAGUGGAAUUCCGAGUGUAGAGGUGAAAUUCGUAGAUAUUCGCAAGAACACCAGUGGCGAAGGCGGCUCACUGGCCCGGAACUGACGCUGAGACGCGAAAGCGUGGGGAGCAAACAGG
rnacentral:rRNA from 1 species